AUUAUACUCCCUUCGUCCCAAAAUUCUUGUCUUAGAUUUGUUUAAAUACGGAUGUAUUAAGUCACGUUUUAGUAUUAGGUAUAUCCGUAUCUAGAUGAAUGUAAGACAAGAAUUUUGGGACGAAAGGAGUAUGUG
rfam:Triticum urartu cultivar G1812 contig845664, whole genome shotgun sequence.